GACGAACGCUGGCGGCGUGCUUAAUACAUGCAAGUCGAACGGACAGGCCCUGCUCUUGUUGCGUGCUCGAGUGGCGAACGCGUGAGUAACACGUGUGUAACCUGCCCCUGACUUAGUGAUAAAUCCAGGAAACUGGGGCUAAUACCGGAUAGGAGCUCCUGAUGCGUGGUGGGGGUUGGAAAGUUUCGGCGGUUUUGGCUGGACUCGCGGCUUAUCAGCUUGUUGGUGGGGUAGUGGAGUACCAAGGCUUUGAAGGGUAGCCGGCCUGGGAGGGUGACCGGCGACAUUGGGACUGAGGUACGGCGCAGACGCCUACGGGAGGCAGCGGUGGGGAGUAUUGCACAGUGAGGGGAAGCCUGAUGCAGCAACGUCGGGUGCGGGAUGACGGCCUUCGGGUGGUAAACCGCUUUCGCCGGUGACGAAGCGUGAGUGACGGUAAUGGGUAAAGAAGCACCGGCUAACUACGUG
rnacentral:rRNA from 1 species